CUUUAGAUCACCGAAGUCAAGCAUCAUUGGGCGCGGUCAGUACUUGGGUGGGUGACCUGGGAACACCACGUGCCGUU